CUACGGGUUGCUGCAGUGGGGAAUAUUGGACAAUGGGGGAAACCCUGAUCCAGCAAUGCCGCGUGUGUGAAGAAGGCCUGCGGGUUGUAAAGCACUUUCGGUUGGGAGGACUGCUUCUAGCACUAAUAUUGUUGGAAGUUGACGUUACCUUCAGAAGAAGCACCGGCUAACUCCGUGCCAGCAGCCGCGGUAAUACGGAGGGUGCAAGCGUUAAUCGGAAUUACUGGGCGUAAAGCGCGCGUAGGCGGCUAGAUCAGUCGGGUGUGAAAGCCCCGGGCUUAACCUGGGAACUGCAUCCGAUACUGUCUAGCUUGAGUACAGGAGAGGAGAGUGGAAUUCCACAUGUAGCGGUGAAAUGCGUAGAUAUGUGGAGGAACACCAAUGGCGAAGGCAGCUCUCUGGCCUGAUACUGACGCUGAGGUGCGAAAGCGCGGGGAGCAAACAGGAUUAGAUACCCUUGUACUC
rnacentral:rRNA from 1 species